AUGCCACCGUGUUUGGUCUGGGAUCUGAGCGAACCUGUCGCGCCCGACUUCGUCCUCCACUUGGUCGUAGCCAUCCACAAAAAGAGGGGAUGUCAUGACAGCCGGGUCCUCACCUGUCUCCACUCCAUAGCAUGUCAACGGCGGAGCCGCGAUAUAAAGUUGGAGCGUGCCCUUUCGUUAGUGCCGUCGUUCUCUCCUCCACGGCUGUCGUUGUCACGAGCCCAAGUAUCUUUGCUGGGUAUCGACGGCAUUGGUGGACCUAAUAGAAAAAGAAGAAAAGAGAAGAAGCAUCAAGAUAUCAUGCAAAGAUGUAUUCAAGGCUGUCUUGCAACAAUGCAUCUUCAGGGACUUGGAAGUUUCAUCUAUUAA
rnacentral:rRNA from 1 species